rnacentral:lncRNA from 1 species
UGAUCUUUAGGGUCUUGGGCUCAAUUGCACUGGAACAGCAUGCUUGGCAGGGAGAGGAGAACUUUGUAAUGGGAAUGGAUCCAUGGGGAAUGAUUUAGAGCAAGGUAACUUUAAGGCUUGUUGUGAAAGUUAAGCAGUAAUUGAGUUUGUGGAUGUGGAGCUCUUUCAGAUGGGUAUAGUGCCUGUAUUCAUAAGCAGCUUUUGGAAAAGCUUCAGUGAGAGGAUUGUCUAAUGGAUACCAAACACAAAUGAAAAUAGGCUUACAACAACAACAACAACAACAACAACAACAACAACAACUACUUAUUGGUAAACUCUCUUGUGAACCUUUUAGUGAAAUGUUGUAUAAAAAUGGUUUCAACAAAUAAGUAAAGAUGAUUUGCGUAAUAUCUCCAAAGGACAAAUCUUAAAGCUCAGAUCAAUAAUAUAUGAACACUUUCCACAUCAACACCUUCCAUGGAUCUUCUGGGAAAGUUCUAAGGCAAAUACUCAGCCCAUGUGGGCAUGUUGGUUCUCCUGUGUGAAUUGCACAUGUGCCAUAGAACAUUUCCCUGUAGCUAAAUAGUCCAGCAGAAGAGUGGCAUGAGUGGGCAUCUGAGACACAUGAGGGUUCCCUUAAAUAUGGCAUGUGAUUGGACAGCAAAACCUAAGUCUCAUGUACAACCUCGUUAUCUUGCAAUGAUAUUUAACUAGGAGGGAGUCCAUGGCAGACAACAGAACUGAAACAGGGUUUUUGUCAAAUUUGAAACUGAAAAUUCACCUGUGGAAUCAUACUUUGAGCUUGAGCACUGAAAUUUAGAGGAUUAGAUAAUUCAUUUGUGCUUCAACUCCAGCUGGUAGUUUUAUCCGUAUCUGAUAUAAUACUACAUUAUGAUAAAAACUAGCAAAGGUGAGAGGUGCUUUAGAGCACAUUAGUCUUUAAGAGCCAAUAGGCACAGAUGCAUUAGACUGCUUCAUCCCUGUCUAAUAUUUAUUAAGCCAAAAAAGGGGGGGGGAGCCUUGGUGUUAUGGCAACUCAAUACAGCUCCUGCUAUUAAACCUUUACUCAGAGGUGGGGAACAGCCAGCCAGGUUUGUGUGUGUUUAUAUAUGCGGAUUAUAAAGUGUGGGGAUUAGUAUAGAGUGAUUACAGCAUUUCAACUGUAUAUUAAGUGCCUGAAACAAUAUCCAAGCAGUCAAGAGUGCUGUAUGCAUUAUGGUUGAGUGUCAUAGCUGACAUUUCUAAUAUCCAUUAUUCAAAAAUUGAUUCCAUGCCUGACUAUCAUGCAUCAUCCAGCCACAAUAUAGGACAAGUAAUACAUGGCAGCACCUCAAUCUCGGCUAAGAGCUUUGCAAACAUUAUCUAGUUCAUCCUGCCCAAGUUUAAUGUCUCUUCAGUGAAUCAGGUAAGUGUAGCACCACACUUUAGGGAUGACAGCAGAAGUCAGGUGCUUUUUUCCCUCAUGCCUAACCUUUAUAAAUGCAUUAGUGCUGCGAUUAAGAACUUCUUUCACUUUUGUUUCAUGCCUUGUGAUAACAGCGGGGCAGUGGUUAGAAGGAUUCCUAGGCAUUUGGAGGCAACGGUAUAAGGCUUCCCUGUCUUCCCACAUUGCCCUUCAGACCAGCUCCAUAUCCACCUGUACCCUCCUCUGAAUUCCAUUGUCCUCUCCAGUCCUUCUUUUGCUCUGCCAUGGUCCAUAGCAUCCUGCCUAGAGCACAGGUAGCCAACUCUAGAAGCCCCAUCUUCCCUGGUCACUGGCUAUGCAGGCUGAGGCUGAAGGGAGUUGAACAACAUGUGGAAAUCAUAUUUGCUUACCUGGUCUACAGUAUACUGUAGUCCCUAUCUUGCUUUGCACCUCAAGGAUGAAACUUGCAGCAGCAGUGGGAUAAAUACCCUGGGCAGAUGUUGCAUUUGUCCAAGAAUGGGACCAUUUCUGGAAUGAAUAGUGCUCAACUGCUCUGUAAUAGUAAAAAAUCAGUUCCACCAUUGUUGUUGUUGUUGCUGCUGCAGUUGCUAUAUUCCACUUUUUGCUAAUAGUAAGCACAAAGCUUCUUUCAAGUUAAAAACAAGUCUCAUCCAUUGUAUGCGAUGUGACCUAUAACUCAGCAUUGUAUGCUGCUUUCACAGUGAUUCAUUUAUUACAAGCAUUGCUGGAAUAUUCCCUCUAAGCCACCAUGUAUUGGUGAAAUAAAUACUACGUUAGUAUGACUAUUGGUUUGAUUGAUAAGCUAGUAAUGAGUAAUAACGUUGAAUCAAUAUGAAUGAACAAGACAUUAUCACUUUAUCAUGAUACACACAAUAUACACACAAUACGCACAAUAUUUCCCUACUUUGGAUGUAUGAGGUUUUUUUUUUUGAAAACUCAGAGUGAGUCUGGUCCAAACAGUAAGUUACAUGGAGAGAGCUGAUGCGUUAGAAUUGGGCUGGGAAGAUGAAUUGAAAUCUCAGCUAUGAACUUUUUUGCUUGACUGGCUGAGUCAUUAUUCCUCCUGGGCUUCAGCUGCUUGUUUGUAGAAUGGUAAGAGUAGUGCAUAGGAGCUUAGGAAGCUGGCUUAUACCAAGUAAGACCAUUGGCCCAUCUAACACAGUAUUGUCUUCACUGAUUGGCAGUGGCUGUCCAGGGUUUCAGGCAGCGAGUCAUUCCAAGCCCUAUCUGGAGACCCUCAAGGAUUGAACCCGGGACCUUCUGAGUGCAAAGCAAAUGCUCUACCAUUGAGCUAGAGCCCUUUCCCAACACUAAUCAAUAGCGUAAGACUGUUGACAAGAUCACUGAGAUAAGGGCUGUAGAGCCAAAAUUGCAUUACACUUACUAUGGAGUAAGUCCUCUUGAACUCAUUGAAACAGGAUGAAUAGGAUUAGGCUAUUUUGCCUAGCUAAAGUGUUUAAAUCAUGAUUACUAGCAGUUAUUAUUGCUUCUACAGGCAAAUAGAUCCCUUGAUUCACUUCUAUACAAAGUUUAGAUAUUUGUGCUUCCUUGAUUUUCAUUUUUCUGGGUGUAUGGAAUUCUCUGACACAAUAACUCUGUAUUCCUCAAUGUGACCCUUUUCUGCUACCACCCAUUCUCAGAAUACUUUCGAAACCUCCCAGUAGGUUGAUAUAUAAUAGGCUUAGGUGUGAGAUCAACAAGCAAGCUCUAAAAUAAUGCUGUGUGGCCUCUCAUGGGGUGUAUCCACUAAAUUGGGUUAAAGGGGGAAUAAACCUUACCCUCCAAUCUGACACAUGCCUCCUAGGCUAAAGCAAACCCCAUUGAAGUAAUUUGGAAAGUCUUCUAAGCAAAGAUGCUUAGGAUCAGGCUGGACGUCUUAACAGAGGUUUGACACCCUUUGCAAUUUGUUUGAAAAUCUUUUUCUCCCAUCCAGUCCUCCCACUCCCAGCCUGACUUGGUUAUAAUACAACUGAAUAAUGUCCUUGGGUCUGAGAUUCCAUUUCAGUUUUAAAAUAAUGUUAAGGUCGUC